AAUUUUGGUAGUCAAGAUUUGGAGCCCAAGAUCAAAUCUUUGGGUUCUGAGAGGAUGUUAGUGGAAAGAACUGUUAGCUUUAAGAAGGAACAAUUGGAAAAUAGGAUGUCUAAUAAAGAUCUUUCAUUGGAGAAAGAAAAUGAUGCUGCAGUUACAUCAGUUAGUACAAAUAGCAAAUCGAAGGAUGAUCAGUCCCAAAACUUAGAUAGUGAUGUAGGAACGGU
rnacentral:misc_RNA from 1 species